GGCUGGUCCAAAGGUAAUGAGUUCUCUCAAGUGACUGUUCACAAAGAUUGAACUCCUUAUCCCACUUUUUUUCCCUUUUCACUACUGCACUUGACUGUUCUUGA
ensembl:misc_RNA Y_RNA Y RNA